CUUUGGUAAGUUCAUGUGCCUAUUCUUUUUCUUCUUCUCUCUUUGAUGACCUCUAAGAUUUGGCGCCCAUUUCUAGCCGUUCGCCUUGCUUUUCCUUUGGACUGCUCCGCCGGUUAGGUUCAUGGGUUCCGUUGCCGAUAGAUUAGCCGUAUCUUCUCCUUCUUCGGAUCCAUUUGUCUGCUCUGUGGUCUGCCCUUUGUGAUUCCCGGGGCCUGUGCCGCUGCUGCUGGUGUUUGGUCGAGGCGAGAUUAUCGAUUCCAAACUGUACUGGUCCUCAUGUGUGCCUAUAUUAUUUUGUUGUACCUGUUCUCAGCUAUGAUUUCCCUUUUCCUUCUCUAGCCAUGACUAUUUUUCCCUUCUGGCGAUAGGCCCUGCAACCAAUUCUGAUGUUAUUUCAGUUGUGUUGUGCGCAUGUGAACUCUAUCUACAUUUCAUCAUUUUCAGUCAUGUACUUAUUCUAUGCAGUUUGUUUCCUUUCA